UUGUCGCGUCCGCCGUGCAUACGGUGCACAC
rnacentral:sRNA from 1 species